ensembl:rRNA 5S_rRNA 5S ribosomal RNA
GUCUAUAGCCAUACCACCCUGAACACGCCCGAUCUUGUCUGAUCUCAGAAGCUAAGCGGGUCGGGCCUCGUUAGUACUUGGAUGGGAGAGUAGCUCUGCUGUAAUAAACC